AGUAGCUUUUAAAGCUGGGCCUUAGUGGGACUCUAAAUGCAAUGAAAGCAGUCUGUGUUGAGAGAUUGAAAUGCAUUUCAAAGCCAGGCCUGACUGGGGUACAAGGAAGAACAGACCUAUGUGCAUUUUGUAGGAAGAAAAAUGUGAAUGGAAAAGGGAGAAAGGGAGAGAAACAGGGGGAAAAUCUGGAUAAUACAUUAAAGUAACCAUAAUUUUGGAGAUGCAUUCGUCUUACUGAAAUUGUGUACGUAACCAGUGAUACCGAAGUCGGAUAUUUGCUCAAUCAGGAUGCUCAACAAUUUGAGCCUUUACUUUAAAGUUUGGAGCUGCAUGGGUUUGUGGAGAAAGUCGGCUUGGGAUGUGUGUGAUGUUUUUCUCCAACUUUUCCUUUUUCUUCUUUGCUUUGGGAUCUUUUGGGAAGUGCCUCAAGAAAACCUGAAGAUGUUAAUAUUUCAGACAACUAAUGCUUGCUAUUUUCCCUCUUUUUGCCUGCUAGAUUUCCUCAUGGCAGUGAUUCUUCUUCAGCCCUUUGACUUCAGAAGGAUGGCAUAGGAACCUCAAAAACA
rnacentral:lncRNA from 1 species